rnacentral:rRNA from 1 species
GACGAACGCUGGCGGCGUGCUUAACACAUGCAAGUCGAACGGUAAGGCCCUUCGGGGUACACGAGUGGCGAACGGGUGAGUAACACGUGGGUGAUCUGCCCUGCACUUCGGGAUAAGCCUGGGAAACUGGGUCUAAUACCGGAUAGGACUCCUGGCUUCAUGGUUGGGGGUGGAAAGCUUUGGCGGUGUGGGAUGGGCCCCAGGCGUAUCAGCUUGUUGGUGGGGUAAUAGCCUACCCAGGCGACGACGGGGAGCCGGCCUGAGAGGGUGACCGGUCACACUGGGACUGAGCGACGGCCCAGACUCCUACGGGAGGCAGCGGUGGGGAAUAUUGCAUAGUGGGCGCAAGCCUGAUGCAGCGACGCCGCGUGAGGGAUGACGGCCUUCGGGUUGUAAACCUCUUUCAGCUAUGACGAAGCGAAAGUGACGGUAGUAGCAGAAGAAGGACCGGCCAACUACGUGCCAGCAGCCGCAGUAA